rnacentral:rRNA from 1 species
UACAGAGGUCUCAAGCGUUGUUCGGAUUCAUUGGGCGUAAAGGGUGUGUAGGUGGCGCGCUAAGUCGGGUGUGAAAUUUCGGAGCUUAACUCCGAAACUGCAUUCGAUACUGGCGUGCUUGAGGACUGGAGAGGAGACUGGAAUUUACGGUGUAGCAGUGAAAUGCGUAGAUAUCGUAAGGAAGACCAGUGGCGAAGGCGGGUCUCUGGGCCGAUACUGACGCUGAGGAGCGAAAGCGUGGGGAGCGAACAGG